CCUACGGGAGGCAGCAGUGAGGAAUAUUGGUCAAUGGACGCAAGUCUGAACCAGCCAUGCCGCGUGCAGGAAGACGGCUCUAUGAGUUGUAAACUGCUUUUGUACGAGGGUAAACGCAGAUACGUGUAUCUGUCUGAAAGUAUCGUACGAAUAAGGAUCGGCUAACUCCGUGCCAGCAGCCGCGGUAAUACGGAGGAUUCAAGCGUUAUCCGGAUUUAUUGGGUUUAAAGGGUGCGUAGGCGGUCGGAUAAGUUAGAGGUGAAAUCCCGAGGCUCAACUUCGGAAUUGCCUCUGAUACUGGUCGGCUAGAGAGUAGUUGCGGUAGGCGGAAUGUGUGGUGUAGCGGUGAAAUGCUUAGAGAUCAUACAGAACACCGAUUGCGAAGGCAGCUUACCAAGCUGCUUCUGACGUUGAGGCACGAAAGCGUGGGUAGCAAACAGGAUUAGAUACCCUAGUAGUC
rnacentral:rRNA from 1 species